CAGAAAGAAAAACUGGAUAUCGCAAUGGUGAAUUACUAUCGUUGUGUGAUUACGAGCAACGAGUGAACAAUCGUGUUUGAAAUAUUCAUUAAGUUCGGUGUUCCAAAGGAAAAUUCAGCUGAAACAUAACGGUAAUCCCUUGUUAUCGGCUCCCUAGCAAGCUGGUGAACUUUAAACAAAUCUUUGCAACCCUUAUCAGUUGCUUAUCAUCACUUUAGUAUGAACCUCAUUGAGAGGCUCUUAAACUAUAACCAAGAAGGAAUUGAAGCCAGAGGACAGUCAGCGUGAGAAAUUAAUUGGAAUACCACCACUUCAUUCUAAAACCCUUUGUCUAUUUCAACUUCUGUCAGUUCCAGACUGGAAAAUGCAGCAUACUUCUCUUGGUUGUGGUGCUUAUGAUUAGCCACUACAGUUCAGCAGUCUUCAUGUUAUCUCUACUUAAUCAGCCAACAUACAAAGAUGUGGGCAGCAGAAGCAUUAUUUUUUGAACUGCAGAUUGUUGUCUUCUAUCUCAAACUUGCCAGGCCUAUAAUUUUCCAUGUCCUGACAACUGGCAGCUAUGCCAUCUACGUCUUCUGCUCCAAGCAAAAUUGAUCAUUAAGAUUCUAAGUUUUGCACCUUCUUUCGCCCUGUUCUCAUUUCAUCGCCACCCGUCGCUUCGUCUUCGUCUUCGCCUCGCCCGUCGCUUCGUCUUCGUCUUCGCCUCGCCCGUCGCUUCGUCUUCGUCUUCGCCUCGCCCGUCGCUUCGUCUUCGCCUCGUAGUUGCCCUGUCAUCAAUUCGCCGUCGGGGUAUCGUUGUAUUUUGUUUUUUGUUUUAUCUGUAUUGCAAGUUAACCCGUUGGCUGCCACCCAUUUUUCUCCCCUUUUUUUUGUUAGCUUGUAGGGACGGGCCGCGCUGCUCUACUCCAUGGUCUAUGUGCCGUGGGGUGGAGCAGUCGCAACUGCCCAAGAUUCGCCGUAAGGCGUUCAGGCAAUGCACCGUAGGGAUUCCCCUUGUUCGAUGCGGUGGUGUUACCUGAGGGUGUGCAUUCCCUGUAAAGGUUUCCACCAUCGUAUCAGCCCGGACUUGUCUUCGGACAAGUCCCUUUUUCGUCAAGGAUCCUUCAGACAUGGCCCGUAGUAUAGUAGAAGCGCAACCUAAGGGUUGUAUAUAUGGCGUGGCAGCCAACGGGUAAACUAAGUGUAUGUAUG